rnacentral:rRNA from 1 species
GCCUAAAAUCUAGCCCAUAUAACUCAUAUGAUACCACCCGACUACUGUAAAAAAUAAAACAUUUUAACAUCUUAGUAUAGGCGAUAGAAAAAUUAUUAAGCGCUUUAGAUAAAGUACCGCAAGGAAAAAUGAAAUAGAAAUGAAAUAACUCUACAGCCACAAAUAGCAGAGACACCCCCUCGUACCUUUCGCAUAAUGGUCUAGCUAGUCCACCGAGCAAAAUGAAAAUUUUAGUUCGACACCCCGAAAUCAAGUGAGCUACNNNNNNNNNNNNNNNNNNNNNNNNNCCUUCUCUGUUGCAAAAGAGUGGGAAGAUUUUCAAGUAGAGGUGACAAGCCUACCGAGCUCAGAGAUAGCUGGUUGUUCAGGAAAAGAGCCUAAGCUCUGCCUUAAGUUUUCCUAUUUUACCAAACAAACCCUAAAACUUAAGAGUUAUUCAAAUUAGGCACAGCUUAUUUGAAACAGGAUACAACCUACUACAUUGGGUAAGCAAGAGCAGUAAGAAACAAAGUGGGCCCAAAAGCAGCCACCUUCCAAAAAGCGUCAAAGCUUAAUUACUCUAACUAAUAAUCCCUAAAACACUCUCCAACCCCUCAUCCCUACUGAACUAUUUUAUAAAUCUAUAAAAAUAAUUAUGCUAGAACUAGUAACAAGAAGUUGCCCUUCUCCAUAAUGCAACCCAAUACGGACACUCCCUGGUAAUCACGUAAUGUAAGACCAUAACAACACAACCAGAAAACCCUAUGGCCACCCACACGUUACCCUAACACCAGAGCAUUACAGGAAAGAUUAAAAGAUAAAGAAGGAACUCGGCAAAUUUUAACCCCGCCNNNNNNNNNNNNNNNNCGCCUCCUGAUUAAAUAUAGGAGGUCCAGCCUGCCCAGUGAUAAAAUUCAACGGCCGCGGUAUACUAACCGUGCGAAGGUAGCAUAAUCACUUGUUCUUUAAAUGGGGACUCGUAUCAACGGCAUCACGAGGGUUAUACUGUCUCCUCUAUCCAAUCAGUGAAACUGAUCCCCCCGUGAAGAAGCGGGGAUUUAACCAUAAGACGAGAAGACCCCAUGGAGCUUUAAACCCAACAUACACCCCUACAUUCAAAUACCAACUUAACCAAAGAGGCCUGUACGUCGGUUUUAGGCUGGGGGGCCACGGAGUAAAACUAAACCUCCAUAACAAAUGGCAAUAUCCCUAAUCUAUGACUUAUAAGUCUAAGAAUCACCAAAAUGAUGUUUAAUGACCCGAUAAUUCGAUCAAUAGACCAAGUUACCCUGGGGAUAACAGCGCAAUCCACUUCAAGAGCCCCUAUCGACAAGUGGGUUUACGACCUCGAUGUUGGAUCAGGGUAUCCUAGUGGUGCAGCCGCUACUAAUGGUUUUUGUUCAGCGAUUAAAACCCUA